UCACAGAAGACCUUUUUUCAGUUCACAUGACUUUCCUCCCCAAAUUAAUGGCAGACCUGGAAGCUUUUGUGGAAGGCUGGAACAACCAUCCACCGAGGACUGAGGGGAAUCAAACUCCUGAGCAGCUUUGGCAUGCUGGAUUGGUAUCUCACCCAGUUGACCAUCCAGAGCAUCUGGAGGACAUCCAAGAGCCAGACGUUGACUGGGAUUUCGCUGCAGACUUUGGAGAACAUGUGGAUGGUGCAAUAGUGGUCCCUGAAUUCCCUUGCCCAUUCACUAAUGAAGAAAUGGCUGAAUUGCAGUUGCUUCUUCAUCAAAAUGAAAACGACUGUACCAGAACAGAACUUUACCUGGUCUGUCGUGAAUAUGUUGCUGCUGCGUUGUCAGGCACUGACUGAACUUUUGUUGUAGUAUUUUGAUUAAACAGAAAUAAACUUUGCACACUGGUCAUGUUUUCCUUUUGAAAUAAAAAAAGAUCUAAAAGUUGCACAAAAUGUUUAUUUAUGUUAUUGUGAAUAUAGGAAUAAUUAAUUAGCAUUAUUUUAUAUAUAUGUAUAACUUUAGGAACUAUCAUAUUGCCCUGCUUUAUGUUACUUGAUCAACUUAACAAAAUCUUACAAUUUCAUCAAACAUGUCCAUAGUAGCUAUGAGAGAGUAACAAAGGGAUAAAUAAUUUGAAUGUAAUUAUGCUGAAACACAUGGCUUAAGUUUUGCCAAAUUUGUAUCAGGGUAAAAAAA